ensembl:lincRNA
CGUUAACAGGCUGCUGAAAUGGACAUAUACAAUGGAAUAUACCCAUAAUUCAUUGCUCAUAUAUUGCAUAAAUAUAAUUUAAUGAGAUGGGGAAAAUCCCGAGAUUGGAGGAAGGGGGGAGGGGGGUCGCUACUUGUUUACUGGCUUGUCCCCCUUCAUGUUUUAAACACUUCUAAAUGCGAAAUGCCUGUUUCCCGAUGAGAAGGACUGUCUCCGAGUCCCAACACGGGCACCCCAACAGCAACAGCAACAACAGCAGCCACAUCAAAAUACUAGAAUUGCAAAGAGGUAGGAGAACACAGUGAAUUCACAGCAGAGUAACUCCCUAAGGAAGCCACUGGACAGGACUCUUUGAUCGCUCAUUCUUUCAAUAAAAAAAAAAGCAUUCCAGCUUUUGCCGGCUGGACUCUAUUGAAACACCACCCGUGUGAAGAUUUUUUUUUUAACCCAAAAAAAUUAAGGCAGCUGAUUUUUGUCAGCGUUAAAUUCUAUGUGUUUGUGUACCAGCAGAUGAUGGCAUUGGCUCUCUAAACGUGCUCGCCAGAGAUUGUAGCAAACGGGGCACUGCACGGUUUUCACCAAACAAUGCUGUCGCUUAAAGCUACAUCUAUUGUCACAUUUGCAAAUUUCGAAUCCAGCCAACCGUAGAUUCUGUCGGCUUUUUUCCCUCCUUUGGCUUGCUGCGUGCUACCCCAAAAAAUUCACCUUCAGUGCAGAGGAAAGCGCUGCUUGGCUGAUCUUGACUCUGAUAAAGUGACGAAGGGGGUCAGUCCAGGAAAAGAGGCCAGUGCAGCUUUAAAAGAAAUCAGUGAUGCAAACAAACUGUUGUGAUAUUGGCGCACAUGAUGCAGAGCCGCGCCAAAGACAAAACAAACGGCAACUUGUAAGGGGAUGAGGGUCUUGUUUACAUAUCGGGAUGGCUUGAGUCUUAGCAUCGAGUGCGCAGCUAACGAAAUAAAACAAGAAGGAGUCCUGCAAAACAACAACAACUACAACAACAGCAACGCACGUUUAGUCAAAACAGCCUGUUCGAACACAGCAGUUCAAUCAGCUGCAGGACUCCAGCCAUUAACAGGAAGCCUCUUAUCCCUGGUAGCUGCCGUGGAGCAGCCCAGAGACGAUCCCGGAAGCACCGGAAACAAGGCAGGGCCGCGCUCGGGACCGGACGCCAGUCCACACCGCAGGACGCGCGUGCGCACACGCGUGGGUUAGACACCCCUGAACCCCGCGAGCGGUAAGACACGAACCCAGAACCGGGCGAGGAGCCCAGGACCCGGGACAAGACGAACCUCCGCGCUGUCCAUCUGUGGACUCAUUACUCGAAUCAAAAUACCCUACAUUUGAAGAAGAUUAGUUUGCGCGAAAUCGCGAGCACAUUUGAGCCAUGGACGUUUUUAAUAUGCCUCUUCUUCAGAUUUAUUUAUAGCAAGGGCAUUACUACCCUUUUUUUGAAAGGCACUGACACACUAACGUCUUCUUAAGAAUCACAAAACGUCUUCCGUGCGGUCAUUUCCAUGUUCAUAUUUGUGUCAGCUUUUUGUGCACACCUGGAACUGAACUUAGAAUCAUGCAUGCAACUUUUCGGUAUUAAAACAAAUUGUUGUCCAAACUGAUGUAUAAACAGUUCAAUUGUGCAUUUAUGUUUUGAACGAAGAUGUGUACCUCUUGCUAACGCUAUUUAAUACAUUCCACCUAAAUGUGGACUCUAAAAUGUAUUUUAAAUUAAUGCAACGUGUUUUCUGCUUAUCGUCAAUAAAAAAAUGGAUGUUCCUUUAACAAUAGUUCUACAUGUUCUGAUUAUCUAAUGUGAGUGUAAUAUUUAAAGAAAUGGAAAGUUAUCCUUUAGUUCAGAAAUGUCACAAAAUAAAAG